UAAAGGUGCACAUAGGAAAACUUAGGGUGUAUACUCGUGUCACUGAAUUAACGUUUAAGCGUGCUAUUUGUACGUCAGCCACGAGGAGAUGCCACUUGAUUGUGGCAUCUUUUUAUUUAGA
rnacentral:sRNA from 12 species